AGAGUUUGAUCCUGGCUCAGAACGAACGCUGGCGGCGCGUCUUAAGCAUGCAAGUCGGACGGCAAGGGGGAGCAAUCCCCCCUAGAGUGGCGGACUGGUGAGUAACGCGUGGGUGACCUACCCUCUGGCCGGGGAUAGCCGUUAGAAAUAGCGGGUAAUACCGGAUGUGGUUAUCUUACUGUGGUGAGGUAAAGAAAGGAGCUUUGGCUCCGCCAGGGGAUGGGCCCGCGUCCCAUUAGCUAGUUGGUAAGGUAAAGGCUUACCAAGGCUCUGAUGGGUAGCCGGCCUGAGAGGGUGAACGGCCACAUUGGGACUGAGAUACGGCCCAAACUCCUACGGGAGGCAGCAGCUAAGAAUAUUCCGCAAUGGACGAAAGUCUGACGGAGCGACGCCGCGUGGAUGACGAAGGCCGGAAGGUUGUAAAAUCCUUUUGCCAACGAAGAAUAAGUGGGGGAGGGAAUGCCCCUAUGAUGACGUUAGUUGGUGAAUAAGCCCCGGCUAAUUACGUGCCAGCAGCCGCGGUAACACGUAAGGGGCGAGCGUUGUUCGGAAUUAUUGGGCGUAAAGGGCGCGUAGGCGGUUAUGUAAGUCUGGCGUGAAAGGCAGGGGCUUAACUCCUGGACUGCGUUAGAAACUGCAUGACUUGAGUCAUGGAGGGGGAGUUGGAAUUCCUGGUGUAGGGGUGAAAUCUGUAGAUAUCAGGAAGAACACCGGUGGCGAAGGCGAACUUCCAGCCGAUGACUGACGCUGAGGCGCGAAAGUGCGGGGAGCAAACAGGAUUAGAUACCCUAGUAGUCC
rnacentral:rRNA from 1 species